AUACAAUUUCCUUGUCCUCAGAGGUCCCAGUCUGGGGUGGCAGAGAACAAACAGGAAACGAGGAAGUGAACAAUAUUAUGUCAAACGCCAACGUGGAGAAAGGAAAAGAGCGAGCGCGCGGGUGCCACACUGGCCAAUGGUGGCGGCCAGCAGAGACACUGAGAAGGAAGAGCAGCCAGCCACAGAGAAAGGGCGUCCCACACAGGAGCGAGGGAAGGGGCUGGCGGCUGACCGCACUGGCUCCCAGCUGCAGGAGGAGGCGAAGGAUCAGUGGGGCGCCAUCUGGGUUGUGUUUGUGAAUCCACCAUGUCCUCCGUGGGACGCAGGGGCUGCGGGGGGGACAGGAUGGGAAGGGACAGGAGGCCAGCAGGAGACUUGGACGGCAUGUGGGAGGGGACCACUGGGGUCUGGAUUAUGGUGGGGCCAGGAGGAGAAGUCCAUGCAUUGGGACCUGUUUUGAGGGCAAGCGGUGAGUCCUGGGGUGGGGGUGGCGGGGGCCACCUAAGCUCCCAGGCCAGCAUCCGGUCUGAGCUCGGUUCAGGGAACAGAGCCUCCCGAUUCUGGGGAUGGAGCCACAGACUCCAUAUUUUGUCUCUGCAUCUGAGCCACCCGCCCCACCCAUGUGUUCCAGACACACCUCUGCAUACGCUGGGUACACAAGAUGCUCCUCGUCACCAGCCACAGGUACACUUAGCAACCCCCACGCCCCAUCACACUUGCCCACUGCCCUGGCCUCCCCAGCAGCGGACUCUCCCAGGCCCAUCUGGCCUCAGUUCCCCCCCACAGCACAGGGCCUGCUUCCGCGGAAACGGAGAAGGCCACCCUUGAAGGGCUGAUCUCUGGCCAGACGCAGCGGCAGGCCCCGGUCAUCCCAGCCACUCAGGAGGCUGAAGCAGGAGGAUCACAAGUUCAAGGCCAGCCUCAGCAACUUAGCGAGGUUGUCUUGAAAACAAACAAACAAAAGGGCUGGGGAUGUGGCUCAGUGGUAGAGCACCCCAGUUUCCAGCCCCAUAAAAACAGAAGGGCUGCUGGGCUCGGGAGGCUGAGGCAGGAGGAUCGCGGGUUCAAAGCCAGCCUCAGCAACAUCGAGGUGCUAAGCGACUCAGUGAGACCUUGUCUCUAAAUAAAACACAAAUUAGACUUGGGGAUGUGAUUCUGUGGUCAAGUGCCCCUAAGUUCAAACCCCAGAACUACCCCCACCAAGAAAAGUUAUAAUUAAGCCAGGCCUGGUGGUGCACACCUGUAAUCCUGGUGACUCAAAGCCAGCCUCAGCAACUCCACUAGACCCUGACUCAAAAUAAAAAAAUAAGAAGGGCUAGGGAUGUGAUUCAGUGGUUAUGCACCUCUGAAUUCAAUCCCUGGUAGCAGGUCUGGGCAUUGUGGUGCAUGUCUGUAAUCCCAGCUGCUUAGAAGUCCAAGGCAGGAGGAUUACAAGCUUGAGGCCUGUUUCAGCAAUUUAUUGAGAUCCUGAAUCAAAAUAAAAUAAAAUUAAAUACAAAACAGGGCUGGGGAUGGGGGCUCAGUGGUUGUGUACCCCUGAGUUCAAUCUCCGGUACUCCCCAUCCCCCCACAAAAAGACAAACCAGAAGGGCUGAGCUCUGACCCCGCUGGCCACCCAUCAGGCAGGCCCCUCCUGUGCCCACACCCCCACGGCUCCUCACUGCUCUGGAGCAGAACUGUAGAAUCCCUGAAUGGAUCCCUCUUAAGAUUCAGAUCUUACCCAGGUCCUCAUCCACUCUGUGACCUUGGCCUUUGCCUCUCUCGGCUUGUGCUAGGGACUGGGUAAGUGGGUCUCAGGCCUCCCCCUGACUGGCUGCUGGACUGGCCACCGCAGCCCUUCUGCCCUCCCCACUGGCCCAUCCCCCUGUGCCUCUCCUGACCCCACAUCCUGUAGGGCUCCCAGUGCCCCAGAUACAAAAGCCACAUUCUUCCUGCCCUUGGCCUUUAAGGUCCCAGGGGUGUCCCAGGGGCUCCCAGUGCUGCUCCUGCCUGGAACAGCCUCUUUGUCCACAAGGGNUCUGAAGACCCAGCGGGGACCAGGUCAUACAAUUUCCUUGUCCUCAGAGGUCCCAGUCUGGGGUGGCAGAGAACAAACAGGAAACGAGGAAGUGAACAAUAUUAUGUCAAACGCCAACGUGGAGAAAGGAAAAGAGCGAGCGCGCGGGUGCCACACUGGCCAAUGGUGGCUUUAGCUGGGAGAUCUCUCAGAGAGGAUCACACCGCGGCCAGCAGAGACACUGAGAAGGAAGAGCAGCCAGCCACAGAGAAAGGGCGUCCCACGCAGGAGCGAGGGAAGGGGCUGGCGGCUGACCGCACUGGCUCCCAGCUGCAGGAGGAGGCGAAGGAUCAGUGGGGAGCCGCGGGGAGCCGGGACGGGGCGCCAUCUGGGUUGUGUUUGUGAAUCCACCAUGUCCUCCGUGGGACGCAGGGGCUGCGGGGGGACAGGAUGGGAAGGGACAGGAGGCCAGCAGGAGACUUGGACGGCAUGUGGGAGGGGACCACUGGGGUCUG
rnacentral:lncRNA from 1 species